AAGACCUACAAAAUUCUAUCUUACAUCUGCUGAUUGCAACUCAACCGCUUUAAUUAAGCUAAGGUCUC
rnacentral:tRNA from 1 species